CAAGAUCUUUUUUUCCAGAGGAGAUUGGAGACCCCUGGCAAUCCAAGGGUGCUGAGUAUUUUUGACCCAGGCUAAC
rfam:Macropus eugenii Contig1070218, whole genome shotgun sequence.